rnacentral:tRNA from 1 species
ACCUAUUUAGCUCAACGGUUGUGCGUUGGCUUUGAGAGCCACAGGUCGGUGGUUCGAACCCACCGGGAC